CAGCAGCCGCGGUAAUACGAGGGGGGCAAGCGUUGUUCGGAAUUAUUGGGCGUAAAGGGCGCGUAGGCGGUUUGGCAAGUUUCGUGUGAAAUCUUCGGGCUCAACUCGAAGUCUGCACGGAAAACUGCCGGGCUUGAGUAUGGGAGAGGUGAGUGGAAUUUCCGGUGUAGCGGUGAAAUGCGUAGAUAUUGGGAAGAACACCGGUGGCGAAGGCGGCAACCUGGUCCAUUACUGACGCUGAGGCGCGAAAGCGUGGGGAGCAAACAGGAUUAGAUACCCCGGUAGUCCCUGUCUCUUAUAC
rnacentral:rRNA from 1 species